UGUUUCGGCUAGGGGGCCAUCCCGGCUUACCAACCCGAUGCAAACUGCGAAUACCGGAGAAUGUUAUCACGGGAGACACACGGCGGGUGCUAACGUCCGUCGUGAAGAGGGAAACAACCCAGACCGCCAGCUAAGGUCCCAAAGUCAUGGUUAAGUGGGAAACGAUGUGGGAAGGCCCAGACAGCCAGGAUGUUGGCUUAGAAGCAGCCAUCAUUUAAAGAAAGCGUAAUAGCUCACUGGUCGAGUCGGCCUGCGCGGAAGAUGUAACGGGGCUAAACCAUGCACCGAAGCUGCGGCAGCGACGCUUAUGCGUUGUUGGGUAGGGGAGCGUUCUGUAAGCCUGUGAAGGUGUGUCGUGAGGCAUGCUGGAGGUAUCAGAAGUGCGAAUGCUGACAUAAGUAACGAUAAAGCGGGUGAAAAGCCCGCUCGCCGGAAGACCAAGGGUUCCUGUCCAACGUUAAUCGGGGCAGGGUGAGUCGACCCCUAAGGCGAGGCCGAAAGGCGUAGUCGAUGGGAAACGGGUUAAUAUUCCCGUACUUGGUGUUACUGCGAAGGGGGGACGGAGAAGGCUAUGUUGGCCGGGCGACGGUUGUCCCGGUUUAAGCGUGUAGGUGUGUGUUCCAGGUAAAUCCGGUUCACUUUAACACUGAGGCGUGACGACGAGGCACUACGGUGCUGAAGCAACAAAUGCCCUGCUUCCAGGAAAAGCCUCUAAGCAUCAGGUAACAUCAAAUCGUACCCCAAACCGACACAGGUGGUCAGGUAGAGAAUACCAAGGCGCUUGAGAGAACUCGGGUGAAGGAACUAGGCAAAAUGGUGCCGUAACUUCGGGAGAAGGCACGCUGACACGUAGGUGAAGUGAUUUACUCAUGGAGCUGAAGUCAGUCGAAGAUACCAGCUGGCUGCAACUGUUUAUUAAAAACACAGCACUGUGCAAACACGAAAGUGGACGUAUACGGUGUGACGCCUGCCCGGUGCCGGAAGGUUAAUUGAUGGGGUCAGCGCAAGCGAAGCUCCUGAUCGAAGCCCCGGUAAACGGCGGCCGUAACUAUAACGGUCCUAAGGUAGCGAAAUUCCUUGUCGGGUAAGUUCCGACCUGCACGAAUGGCGUAAUGAUGGCCAGGCUGUCUCCACCCGAGACUCAGUGAAAUUGAACUCGCUGUGAAGAUGCAGUGUACCCGCGGCAAGACGGAAAGACCCCGUGAACCUUUACUAUAGCUUGACACUGAACAUUGAGCCUUGAUGUGUAGGAUAGGUGGGAGGCUUU
rnacentral:rRNA from 1 species